rnacentral:rRNA from 1 species
UACGAAGGGGGCUAGCGUUGCUCGGAAUCACUGGGCGUAAAGGGUGCGUAGGCGGGUCUUUAAGUCAGGGGUGAAAUCCUGGAGCUCAACUCCAGAACUGCCUUUGAUACUGAAGAUCUUGAGUUCGGGAGAGGUGAGUGGAACUGCGAGUGUAGAGGUGAAAUUCGUAGAUAUUCGCAAGAACACCGGUGGCGAAGGCGGCCAACUGGUCCGGAUCUGACGCUGAGGCGCGAAAGCGUGGGGAGCAAACAGG